UAAACCUUUGAAAAAUGGAAGAAUGGAAGUGUGGAGAGGAAGGGAAGGGGGAGGGCAAUUUAUAGAGUUUUAGAACCAUCGGAUUUGCUCCAAGUGGUGAAAUUCAAACGCGCGUGCAAGUCCUGAUCCCACGCCAUGCGCACAGACAAGACAUGCGUGCAUCCGUGUGGAGGGGAGGUGUGCGCUAUGCACACGUCCUGCGGUCACUGUGUGCAUGCACGUGCGCACUGUGACCAGCAGCCGCACGGGCAACUAGCCUUCUUGCAGGAUUUUUCCUGUAGGAAUUUUUCCCAUUUCAACGUUUUUAUGAUUUUUUUGAAUUUCAUUCUCAAUUUAAUUUAGUUAAAUAAAAUUACUUAAAAUAAAAUAAUAAAU
rnacentral:lncRNA from 1 species